rnacentral:rRNA from 1 species
UACGGAGGGUGCAAGCGUUAUCCGGAUUCACUGGGUUUAAAGGGUGCGUAGGCGGAUAGGUAAGUCCGUGGUGAAAUCCUGCAGCUUAACUGCAGAACUGCCGUGGAUACUAUCUAUCUUGAAUGUCGUGGAGGUUAGCGGAAUAUGUCACGUAGCGGUGAAAUGCUUAGAUAUGACAUAGAACACCCAUUGCGAAGGCAGCUAACUACGCGAUAAUUGACGCUGAUGCACGAAAGCGUGGGGAUCAAACAGG